GACGAACGCUGGCGGCGUGCUUAACACAUGCAAGUCGAACGAAGUGGCGAACGGGUGAGUAACGCGUAAUCAACCUGCCCUUCAGCGGGGGACAACAGUUGGAAACGACUGCUAAUACCGCAUACUGAAGGAGGGGCUUGCGUUUGAUUAGCUAGUUGGGGGGGUAACGGCCCACCAAGGCGAUGAUCAGUAGCCGGUCGUAGAGGAUGAUCGGCCACAUUGGGACUGAGACACGGCCCAGACUCCUACGGGAGGCAGCAGUGGGGAAUCUUCCGCAAUGGACGAAAGUCUGACGGAGCAACGCCGCGUGAGUGAUGACGGCCUUCGGGUUGUAAAGCUCUGUUAAUCGGGACGCGGUACCGAAAUAGAAAGCCACGGCUAACUACGUGCCAGCAGCCGCGGUAAUA
rnacentral:rRNA from 1 species